GUGCACAUAGACUAAUUAAGUCGUAGCUUUGAAGAUGCUAAAAUGGAGUAAAUCCUGAGUACG
rnacentral:tRNA from 1 species